GCGGCGGACGGGUGAGUAAUGCCUAGGAAAUUGCCCUGAUGUGGGGGAUAACCAUUGGAAACGAUGGCUAAUACCGCAUGAUGCCUACGGGCCAAAGAGGGGGACCUUCGGGCCUCUCGCGUCAGGAUAUGCCUAGGUGGGAUUAGCUAGUUGGUGAGGUAAGGGCUCACCAAGGCGACGAUCCCUAGCUGGUCUGAGAGGAUGAUCAGCCACACUGGAACUGAGACACGGUCCAGACUCCUACGGGAGGCAGCAGUGGGGAAUAUUGCACAAUGGGCGCAAGCCUGAUGCAGCCAUGCCGCGUGUGUGAAGAAGGCCUUCGGGUUGUAAAGCACUUUCAGUCGUGAGGAAGGUAGUGUAGUUAAUAGCUGCAUUAUUUGACGUUAGCGACAGAAGAAGCACCGGCUAACUCCGUGCCAGCAGCCGCGGUAAUACGGAGGGUGCGAGCGUUAAUCGGAAUUACUGGGCGUAAAGCGCAUGCAGGUGGUUUGUUAAGUCAGAUGUGAAAGCCCGGGGCUCAACCUCGGAAUUGCAUUUGAAACUGGCAGACUAGAGUACUGUAGAGGGGGGUAGAAUUUCAGGUGUAGCGGUGAAAUGCGUAGAGAUCUGAAGGAAUACCGGUGGCGAAGGCGGCCCCCUGGACAGAUACUGACACUCAGAUGCGAAAGCGUGGGGAGCAAACAGGAUUAGAUACCCUGGUAGUCCACGCCGUAAACGAUGUCUACUUGGAGGUUGUGGCCUUGAGCCGUGGCUUUCGGAGCUAACGCGUUAAGUAGACCGCCUGGGGAGUACGGUCGCAAGAUUAAAACUCAAAUGAAUUGACGGGGGCCCGCACAAGCGGUGGAGCAUGUGGUUUAAUUCGAUGCAACGCGAAGAACCUUACCUACUCUUGACAUCCAGAGAACUUUCCAGAGAUGGAUUGGUGCCUUCGGGAACUCUGAGACAGGUGCUGCAUGGCUGUCGUCAGCUCGUGUUGUGAAAUGUUGGGUUAAGUCCCGCAACGAGCGCAACCCUUAUCCUUGUUUGCCAGCGAGUAAUGUCGGGAACUCCAGGG
rnacentral:rRNA from 1 species